UAUACAUACCAGAUGGUUGCUAUAAACUUCGGUUUAUAGAGGAAAGUCCGAACACCCAAAGUUUUGGCAAAACAUAUCUUUGUUGGUAUGUUGUGCCGAAAUCGACAAUGGUGCUGGAUAACAUCCAGGCAAUGCACGAAUAAUUCAUAAAGCGUGCUGACGGAAAGUGCCACAGAGACUAUACUAUCGCAUGGCCUUGUCACCCAACAGAACUUUUGCCAAAACUUACAUAUACAGGCUAAAUUCUAUAAAAAUUUUCUUAGCUUAGCGCAGGCUAAACCGCGAAAAUUAUUUAAAGAAUUUAUCACCGCAUCUGAAAGUUUGUGAUCAAAAGUCUAUUAGGUGACAAGACCCGGCGAGAAACGUGAAAAGUGAGUGAGUGUACUUCGGUGCUAUCACUCUCACUCGUGAGCAAUCACGAAGUGUGGCAAACCCCACUUGGUGCAAGAUCGAGGUGGUGAGACAAUUCCAUUACGAGCUGAAAUCUAGAUAUUUUUUUCUCAGAACAUUGAAUAAGUGACGAAGUGAUGUGAAUACAUCAUUGAGGAACUUUGAAAUGUUAUGAGGAAAAAAUAGCCGAUUUCAGUCCGUGAUGGAGUUGUGUUACGACCUCACAAUAUCGCAUUGAGGCAAUAAGUAAUUAUUGUCCCAGAGAGAUGGCCAUCGUCCCGAUUUUUAUCGGGAUAACAGAAUUCGGCUUAUCGGUAUGUAAAGACA
rnacentral:RNase_P_RNA from 1 species